rnacentral:lncRNA from 1 species
UAGAGAGACGAUAGAGAGAGAGACGGAUAGAGAGACGAUAGAGAGAGAGACGGAUAGAGAGACGAUAGAGAGAGAGACGGAUAGAGAGACGGAUAGAGAGAGAGACAGAGAGACGGAUAGAGAGAGAGACGGAUAGAGAGAGAGACGGAUAGAGAGAGAGACGGAUAGAGAGAGAGACGGAUAGAGAGAGAGACGGAUAGAGAGAGAGACGGAUAGAGAGACGGAUAGAGAGACGGAUAGAGAGACGGAUAGAGAGAGAGACGGAUAGAGAGAGAGACGGAUAGAGAGACGGAUAGAGACGGAUAGAGACGGAUAGAGACGGAUAGAGACGGAUAGAGACGGAUAGAGAGAGAGAGAGAGAGAGACGGAUAGAGAGAGAGAGAGACGGAUAGAGAGACGGAUAGAGAGACGGAUAGAGACGGAUAGAGACGGAUAGAGACGGAUAGAGACGGAUAGAGACGGAUAGAGACGGAUAGAGACGGAUAGAGACGGAUAGAGAGAGAGAGAGAGAGAGAGAGAGAGACGGAUAGAGAGAGAGAGAGACGGAUAGAGAGAGAGAGAGACGGAUAGAGAGACGGAUAGAGAGACGGAUAGAGAGACGGAUAGAGAGACGGAUAGAGAGACGGAUAGAGAGACGGAUAGAGAGACGGAUAGAGAGACGGAUAGAGAGACGGAUAGAGAGACGGAUAGAGAGAGAGAGACGGAUAGAGAGAGAGAGACGGAUAGAGAGAGAGAGAGUUCAGUUGAAGAAGUGUUUAGCUAAGAGGGGAGGGGCUUUAAAAAAGCGCUCUGUGUGUGUGGGGGGGGGGGGUCAGCUGUUUGAGAAUGGGCCAAUCAUACAUCUGGGACUGAGUGACACAUCGAGCCACGCUGCUAUUGGACGGGGGGAAAAGUGCACAGCCCCACUAACUUUGGCAACAAAUACAGGUGGGUACUGCAGAAUGGAACUAGAGAGGGGGGAAAGGGAGAGAGAGAGGGGGAAAGGGAGAGAGAGAGGGGGGGAAAGGGAGAGAGAGAGGGGGGAAAGGGAGAGAGAGAGGGGGAAAGGGA